AAGAGAAACAAGAGUUUUAGAUUGAGAGAAAGCGAAGAGAAAUGGCGAUGUCAGUGGUGAGAUCCGGUUUUCAAUCUGCUAUUCGUAGAGGCGGACGUAGCAGCGUUCCAACCAAGAGGAACUUCUCUUCCUCAGCUCAUCACGAUGAUGCCCAUGAAGCGGCGAAAUGGGAAAAGAUUUCAUACGCUGGAAUUGUGGGUUGCACUGCUUUUGCUGUUUGGACUUUGUCAAAGGGUCAUCCCCAUGGGGAGGAGCAACCAGCAUAUCCUUACAUGCGCAUCCGAAACAAGGAGUUCCCAUGGGGAUGGGGCUGGCAUGAAUUGCUCAAGAAUAAUGGCUGAUAACCGAAAAAUUAUGUUACUAUAUGAAUCUUUUAGCAGACAUAUUUCAGGUCCUGAUGGUCUCUUCGAGGUCAAAAGCCAUGAUCAUUAGUUUUUAGUAGAUUACUCUGGAUAUGAAACUUGUUAGUAACUUCUCAUUGGGGGUGAACGACAUUGAAGCUUUCAAACAUUCUGUUGUCUUUUUGUUUGUUUCUUUUUUAUCUUAAUGCUCUUGCAAAUGCAAUAAAAACGUGAUAAGAUAGUCUCAGUGUGUUUUAUCAACUCUUUUGUCAGUACAUUCAUACUGCAUAUGAACAAAUUGAUUUUGUUACCUGUA